rnacentral:misc_RNA from 1 species
UUCGGGUUUACGAUUCCUCCUGAUCAGAGGUCCCAUUUCAGAAGUUGGGUGUUUAACGGCUGUGGACGCGCCGCUCCCCUAAAGCGAGUGUGCAAACUACUGCGCAGGAGAGGCUGCGGCGAUACCGCCACUGUAUUUCUGAGACGGCCACCCGCUAGGGGAGGGCCGAUCCCCAACGCCGACCCCCCGGAGGGGUUCGAGGGUUGAAAUGACGCUCGGACAGGCAUGCCCGCCAGAAUACUGGCGGGCGCAAUGUGCGUUCAAAGAUUCGAUGAUUCACUGAAUUCUGCAAUUCACAUUACUUAUCGCAUUUCGCUGCGUUCUUCAUCGAUGCCAGAACCAAGAGAUCCGUUGUUGAAAGUUUUGAUUCAUUUUCGAAACGCCUACGAGAGGCGCCGAGAAGGCUCAGAUUAUAAAAAACCCGCGAGGGGGUAUACAAAAAGAGUUUUGGUUGGUCCUCCGGCGGGCGCCUUGGUCCGGGGCUGCGACGCACCCGGGGCAGAGAUCCCGCCGAGGCAACAGUUUGGUAACGUUCACAUUGGGUUUGGGAGUUGUAAACUCGGUAAUGAUCCCUCCGCUGGUUCACCAACGGAGACCUUGUUACGACUUUUACUUCCAAAAGGGCA